rnacentral:rRNA from 1 species
CGGACUGUAGUCUGCAACCCGACUACACGAAGCUGGAAUCGCUAGUAAUCGCGAAUCAGAAUGUCGCGGUGAAUACGUUCCCGGGUCUUGUACACACCGCCCGUCACACCAUGGGAGUCGGAAAUGCCCGAAGUCUGUGACCCAACCUGAGAGGGAGGGAGCAGCCGAAGGCAGGUCUGAUGACUGGGGUGAAGUCGUAACAAGGUACC